rnacentral:rRNA from 1 species
GUGGGGAAUAUUGGACAAUGGAGGCAACUCUGAUCCAGCCAUGCCGCGUGUGUGAAGAAGGCCUUUUGGUUGUAAAGCACUUUAAGCGAGGAGGAGGCUUACCUGGUUAAUACCUGGGAUAAGUGGACGUUACUCGCAGAAUAAGCACCGGCUAACUCUGUGCCAGCAGCCGCGGUAAUACAGAGGUUGCAAGCGUUAAUCGGAUUUACUGGGCGUACAGCGCGCGUAGGUGGCUAAUUAAGUCAAAUGUGAAAUCACCGAGCUUAACUUGGGAAUUGGAUUCGAGACUGGUUAGCUAGAGUAUGGGAGAGGAUGGUAGAAUUCCAGGUGUAGCGGUGAAAUGCGUAGAGAUCUGGAGGAAUACCGAUGGCGAAGGCAGACAUCUGGCCUAAUACUGACACUGAGGUGCGAAAGCAUGGGGAGCAAACAGGAUUAGAAACCCGGGUAGUCC